GGAGAAGGGCAGGGCACUUCCUUCCUGUGCCCCUCCCCUCUAUCGUCCGUCUCCCCCUCUCUAUUUUUACCUCUCUGCUCUCUUGCCCCUAAGCCUUUUCUCUCCCCAUCUGGCUUUUCUCUCCAUCGGUCAGUGCGCUCAGCUUGCACUGCCCUCCAGCCUGUCUCUAAAAAAGACAAAAACCGAAUGAUGAAGGAAAGUGACAGGAUUUCCAUUUCCAGAAACCCAAGUCUUGACUUUAUCCGCAAGGGUAAGUGUCGCUCAGAAUGCACUUUUCUUCUAGCAUAGGGCAUUUCCUUCCAUUUCGGGAUGGGGGUAGGAAAGGGGCUUGUGGGACCCCCUGUCUUUCACUUGGCUGUUCAGAUUCUGCCAUCUUCAGGAGAGGGAUGGCCCUGCAAGUGGAUUCCAUUCAGUAUCUUGCCUGCGGAGGAUGAAGAAGCCAGGAGGGUCUCAAGAACGGAGCGCAGCUGUUGGGAGCAGCUCACUUGGAGGAGGAAAAUGUUUUCUCUUAGGCUGCCAUCAAGUCCUGCUGCUUCCAUCACAAUACUUCCAAAGCACUCCCAUUCUUGCAGCAUCACCGUCAAUGGGCUAAAUUCAGAAACGAACCCUGAGUUUUGGUAUAUAGCAAGGACUGAGUGCGCAGACCAGAGAAAGUUAGUCACCUUUGAAAAUCUCAUCUGAGAGGCUUACUUACUUCUAAUUCUUCUGAGUGAGGUACCUGAGGGAGUCUAUUAUACCUUCAGAAAGAAAUAAUGUUUUCUGUUUUGUUGCUAAAUUUACCAUGGAACCUUAAAUAAAGAAUAGUGAAACUUUAUUAGGGAAGGAAAGUCGGGAGAAGAGAGUGAUUAAUAUACUUGGUUUUUCAAGUGCAAAGAAAUUUCAGCGAGCUGUUAAGUUUGAGUAUGUGUGUAACUUUUUAUUUCUCCUUGAUGUAUGAUUAGGUUUAUUACCUCCUGAUAUUAACAUUUACACACCAGCUAUAGUAGCAACACAUUUUACAUUCGUUUGCAAGUUAGUUUUCAAUCCAGUAUGUCUCUGGAAGGAAGCAAAAUCUUGCUAAAGAAUACAAACUAGCUCUUGUAAACCAGAAUAUGAUAUUUUUGACAGCAACUAAAGGGAAGAGAGAGAGAGAGAUGAGAACUCAGGAUUUGCUAAGCACACAAUAUGGUGGGUGCUUGUUGCUGUAAUACACAUUUUAUCCUUAAUUCUCACUACAAUCUGAAGACAGACAUGAUCUCCAUUUUAUAGAUGAGGAUACUCAGACUUCAAGGAAUAUGGGUAUUUCGUAAAUUUAGCCUGCUGGUCCUGAGAGAGGCAGGUGGAGCUGGCAUGCAGACCUAGCCUUUCUGAGCCCAGAUUUAGUGUUUUUCCCAUUCUGCCAGACUGGUCACGGGAAAAUGCCCCGCUACAGCGCCAUCUUCAAGUCAUGCCUAUUCCAACUGGCUCUCCAAAGGCAUUAGGACAUGCAUUUUCAAUGGGGGCGAUAUUGUCCCCAGUGGGGCAAAAAUUGGUUCUUGGGAAGAGGCAGGGAUCUUUCUCUUGCUGUAAAGCACCAGUAUAGUACACAAAUAGAUAUCCAGCAUGCCUGUGCUGUUGGCAUCUCAUGGAGGGGGUGAUUAGGAACAAAUGUGUCUAAAAAAGGCUGGUUGUAGGGGUGCUAAUGAAAACAAGGUUGACCACUGGGCAAAGGGAAGAGGAGAGGCCCAAGAGAUAUGAGCGGCUGUUCAGAGGAUUGCCGCAUCUGCUGUUGGUCUGGGACCAUAAUGGGGAAAUGACCUGGAGCCCCAGGUGCCUCUGGUUCUUUCUCAUUCUUUCUGAACAUGGAAGUUCAGAGAAGGCGUAGACCACAGCCAAUAAGUGGAAUCUGUUGCUAGAUCUUCAUCCCGACCUUUUGUCCUCCAACUCCUUAGAAACUUCACUGGUAGAUUAAUCUCACACAUGGCAAUAGCAAAAAGGCUUCAAGGAAAUGAACAGUAGCUCCUUUCCCUAAGCAGCUUGGGACGCCUGAAGUGGAAACACUUUCUAGAGCAAGGAUUCAAAGACCCUUCCAUCUAUCCAAGUCACAGCUCCCCCGGGGACCCUAUUGGUCUGGGACAUGUGUGUUGUUCCCCAACUGCUCUCCCGUAAUUGGCACCAAGGGUGGGGGAAGUUGAAGGCUUUGCGGAAAACGAAGCUAAUCAUUAGGUCUACCUAAAGAUUCCUCCACCAAAGUGGGGUUUGAGGCUUUAGUCCUGUGAGCUCAGGGGUCUAUCUUGUCACUCAUACAGGGGACUGAGGAAGUGGCUGCAGUGAUUGAAUUCUUUUGUGUUACUUCUCUGCCCUUGACAGAGCAGAACCUGAGGCAGGCAUCCUCUGGAAUAACAGUGCCGCUCACCUCU
ensembl:lincRNA